GGAAGAGUACCGUCCCCGGUGGGGCGCGCGGCCUUCAAAGCCGUUGAGACGCUUGAACGUGUCUGGUGGGUUCGACUCCUACCUCUUCCGCCA
rnacentral:tRNA from 1 species